rnacentral:lncRNA from 1 species
UUGUAUAUAGCCUCUCUACUGUUAUUUUUCACUGUCUUUUUACAUGUGUUUUUAUUUCUUUACUUAUAACUAUUGUUCACCUAAUACAUUUUUUGCACUAUUGAUUAGAGCCUAUAAGUAAGCAUUUCCAUGUAAGGUCUACACUGUUCUAUUCGGCACACGUGACAAAUACACUUGAUUUGAUACCCUCUUUGCCCUGGCUGAGUUCUUUUCUACUGCUCCUCUACCCUCUAUUGCCCUGGCUGAGUUCUUUUCUACUGCCCCUCUACCCUCUAUUGCCCUAGCUGAGUUCUAUUCUACUGCCCCUCUACCCUCUAUUGCCCUGGCUGAGCUCUACUUACUGGCUCUACCCGCUGUGCCCCUCUAGUGAUGUCGCUGUGGCCCCUCGUGAGUCGCUGUGCCCCUCUGUGAUGUCGCUGUGCCCCUCUAUGAUGUCGCUGUGCCCCUUCUAGUGAUUUGGCUGCUCAGUCAGCUAGCU